rnacentral:rRNA from 1 species
GAUGAACGCUGACGGAAUGCUUAACACAUGCAAGUCGACUGGAUUCUACUUCGGUAGUUGAUGGUGGCGGACGGGUGAGUAACGCGUAAAGAACCUGCCCUUUAGUUUGGGAUAACCUUUGGAAACGAAGGCUAAUACCGGAUAUUAUGGAGACGUCGCAUGGCGACUCCAUGAAAGCUAUAUGGGCUAGGGGAGGACUUUGCGUCCCAUUAGUUAGUUGGUGAGGUAGUGGCUCACCAAGACCGCGAUGGGUAGCCGGCCUGAGAGGGUGAUCGGCCACAAGGGAACUGAGACACGGUCCUGAGUGCUACGGGAGGCAGCAGUGGGGAAUAUUGGACAAUGGGCCACAGGCCUGAUCCAGCAAUUCUGUGUGCACGAUGAAGGUCUUCGGAUUGUAAAGUGCUUUUUGCCGGGAAGAGGAAGGACGGUACCGGUAGAAUAAGCCUCGGCUAACUACGUGCCAGCCGCCGCAGUAACAC